AUGGAACCCUAUGUCCUAUGUAACACACAGCUUUUGACCAGGGCUCUACAGGACUCCCAUAGGGCUCCACAUGGCUCCAGAGGGCUCUACAGGACUCCCAUAGGGCUCUACAGGACUCUACAGGACUCCCAUAGGGCUCCACAUGGCUCCAGAGGGCUCUACAGGACUCCCAUAGGGCUCCACAUGGCUCCAAUAGGGCUCUACAGGACUCUACAGGGCUCCCAUAGGGCUCUACAGGACUCCCAUAGGGCUCUACAGGACUCCCAUAGGGCUCCACAUGGCUCCAGAGGGCUCUACAGGACUCCCAUAGGGCUCUACAGGACUCUACAGGACUCCCAUAGGGCUCCACAUGGCUCCAGAGGGCUCUACAGGACUCCCAUAGGGCUCCACAUGGCUCCAAUAGGGCUCUACAGGACUCUACAGGGCUCCCAUAGGGCUCUACAGGACUCCCAUAGGGUUCUACAGGACUUUACAGGACUCCCAUAGGGCUCUACAGGGCU
rnacentral:lncRNA from 13 species